CCCCUCUCAGGAUGGCACCUGGAGAGUUUCCAGUACUCUAUCAGUCUCGGCUCUGGGAGGGAGAGUCGAGCAGGGGUUUAUCCAUUCCAUUCCUAGCUUAGCCAGUGGCUUAGCGAGUGGAAGGCAAUCUGCUACAAGU